rnacentral:rRNA from 1 species
ACUCCGGUUGAUCCUGCCGGACCCGACCGCUAUCGGGGUAGGGCUAAGCCAUGGGAGUCGAACGCCCCGCCGCUGCGGGGCGUGGCGGACGGCUGAGUAACACGUGGCUAACCUACCCUCGGGACGGGGAUAACCCCUCGGGAAACUGGGGCUAAUCCCCGAUAGGCGGGGGGUGCCUGGAAGGGUCCUCCGCCGAAAGGGGCCGCGGGGGGUUAUCGCCCGCGGCCCGCCCGAGGAUGGGGCUGCGGCCCAUCACGGUAGUUGGCGGGGUAAUGGCCCGCCAAGCCUACGACGGGUAGGGGCCGUGAGAGCGGGAGCCCCCAGAUGGGCACUGAGACAAGGGCCCAGGCCCUACGGGGCGCACCAGGCGCGAAAACUCCGCAAUGCGGGCAACCGUGACGGGGCUACCCCGAGUGCCCCCCUUGGGGGGGCUUUUCCCCGCUGUAAGUAGGCGGGGGAAUAAGCGGGGGGCAAGACUGGUGUCAGCCGCCGCGGUAAUACCAGCCCCGCGAGCGGUCGGGGUGCUUACUGGGCCUAAAGCGCCCGUAGCCGGCUCGACAAGUCCCCGCCUAAAGCCCCGGGCUCAACCCGGGGAGUGGCGGGGAUACUGUCGGGCUAGGGGGCGGGAGAGGCCGAGGGUACUCCCGGGGUAGGGGCGAAAUCCAUUAAUCCCGGGAGGACCACCAGUGGCGAAGGCGCUCGGCUGGAACGCGCCCGACGGUGAGGGGCGAAAGCCGGGGGAGCGAACCGGAUUAGAUACCCGGGUAGUCCCGGCUGUAAACGAUGCGGGCUAGGUGUUGGGCGGGCGUGCGAGCCCGCCCAGUGCCGCAGGGAAGCCGUUAAGCCCGCCGCCUGGGGAGUACGGCCGCAAGGCUGAAACUUAAAGGAAUUGGCGGGGGAGCACCACAAGGGGUGGAGCCUGCGGCUUAAUUGGAGUCAACGCCGGGAACCUCCACCGGGGGCGACAGCAGGAUGACGGCCAGGCUGAAGGCCUUGCCCGACGCGCUGAGGGGAGGUGCAUGGCCGUCGCCAGCUCGUGCCGUGAGGUGUCCUGUUAAGUCAGGCAACGAGCGAGACCCCCGCCCCUAGUUGCCAUCCCCGGGGCGACCCGGGGGGCACACUAGGGGGACUGCCGCCGCUAAGGCGGAGGAAGGAGGGGGCAACGGCAGGUCAGCAUGCCCCUAAACCCCCGGGCUGCACGCGGGCUACAAUGGCGGGGACAGCGGGUGCCGACCCCGAAAGGGGGAGGCAAUCCCUCAAACCCCGCCUCAGUUGGGAUCGAGGGCUGCAACUCGCCCUCGUGAACGUGGAAUCCCUAGUAACCGCGCGUCAUCAUCGCGCGGUGAAUACGUCCCUGCUCCUUGCACACACUGCCCGUCGCUCCACCCGAGGGGGGAGGGGGUGAGGCCCUCUCCGCCGGGAGGGGGUCGAACCCCCUCCCCCCGAGGGGGGAGAAGUCGUAACAAGGUAGCCGUAGGGGAACCUGCGGCUGGAUCACCU